rnacentral:rRNA from 1 species
UACGUAGGGUGCGAGCGUUAAUCGGAAUUACUGGGCGUAAAGCGUGCGCAGGCGGUGAUGUAAGACCGAUGUGAAAUCCCCGGGCUUAACCUGGGAACUGCAUUGGUGACUGCAUUGCUGGAGUAUGGCAGAGGGGGGUGGAAUUCCACGUGUAGCAGUGAAAUGCGUAGAGAUGUGGAGGAACACCUAUGGCGAAGGCAGCUCGCUGGGACGGUACUGACGCUGAGGCGCGAAAGCGUGGGGAGCAAACAGG